rnacentral:lncRNA from 1 species
AUGAACAUGAUAUCAACAUCAUCAUGAGAGCAUCACAUAACUUUCCACCAUAUCAACAGUAAAUCAUAUCCACUGAGCAUCACAUACCGACUAGCAUGACCAUCUCCAACAUCAACAUGAACUACUAACAAGCAUAAACAUAUGAAAGGUAAUACUAGCAGGUAUAACAUGAUCCCAGGGUAUAAGACAACAUAGCAAAAAUGUGAACAUGCAAAUCUGAACAUCACUGAAACAAUGAUAACCAACUUUUCAACAAGCAAACAUUUAUUAAAUAUUCAAGUUGAAAACCAUGGCUACUGCAUGACUAUCAUGCAAGUGGGUAUUGUGGCUUGCCUGGGGAUGAAGAAGGCACCAAGAAGAAGUGCGGUGAAGCCGCGAAAAAUGGUCAUUUUCAGUAUGCCAAAACAUAAUGAAAGUGACACCAACAGAAAGGGCUCGACAGAACAAAGAAGUGAGCGUUGGAUUCACCUCAAACGGAGUUACGGUUAAAAAGUUAUAAGAGUUUUACUCUCAGGGACCUCUGUGUAAACAUUUAUUUUAUAGACUGGGCCAAAACAGAAAACUGGAAAGCGUAUUCGGCGGUUUACGUCUCCACUUAUCUAGCGUGGCAAUGGCGGGGCCGGCUCCUAUGUGGCUGACAGGUGGGUCCCACCUUAUCCACUCUUCUCUCUCCUCUCUUCUCUUAUUCACCUCUCCCUCUUUCGACGCCGUACGCAGAACAGAGGAGAGGCCGCCGGCGCCGGCGCUUGCUCCGACCACUCGGGCCACCUCCGGCGGAGAUUGAACCACCGGCGUGCUCGGGAUGACGAGGCGCACAAGUCCCACCACCACACGAACGUCAGGGAGACGCGGGCAGGGCAGGAACGUGCCCGCGGUGGACGGGGCUUCGGCUGGGAUCGGGCACGGCACUGGAGGGGCUCCGACGAUGGGGAAAAGGGCAGGGAGACUCGCCGAAGUGUGGGGAAGGCGAUGGUGGUGGCUAGAGGAGGAGGGGGGCUCGGGCUCGACCAAAUCGAGUGAGGGCAGAGACAACGGCCAUGGCAGCGAUGGGGGGCAGGAGAGCUCCUGGAGCUCGGGCAAGGGGCUGGGGAGAUCUAGUGGAGGAGGGGGAGGCUGCUGGAGUGCUCGGACGGCCUCGAGGGUGACCAUUUAUAGGCGGGGCAGGGGAGAUGGUCUCGGGUGCCGCCGUGCACGUCCGGCCGAGGCUCUGGCGACAGCCAGUGAGCACGGGGGGACACGGGGAAGGCGACAAAGGGGGUGCAGACGAACUGCAGAGGUCACGGAGACGAGCAGCUCUAGAGGACAUGAGGAGGAAGAAGUCGAGCGCCAUUAAGGCUCGGUCGGCCACAGUGCGCUCGUGGGCACGCGGCGACGACAGCUGACGAAGGGGCUGACGGAGGGGCAGAAGGCUCCAGGAGGACAGCGAUGAUGCGGUAAAACGGUGAGACAUGCUCAAGAGCGCAAAGACGCGUAGAGGGAGAGGGGACCGAGCACAAACGACGUUAUGGCCGUGCACACUACAUGCCAAAAUGGUGGUCACCGCGUGCACUGGUGCUCACAGUGGCACAUGGCCGGCAAAACUAUGUCUGGGGGCUUGUCCUUCCUGGGGUGGUUGCAGCUGUGGUGGUAGUUUGGUUAAAAGUGACAUGGUUAAAUGGUAGUUAACACCUGAAGUUUACUGCAGUAAACUUGAUCGUGUACUGCUGCUCAACAGGGAUGUGAUUGGGUCAAAUGGAGUUGUCUGGGAGGUUGAGGUGAAGAAGGACUUUCAUCCUGGAGGUUGGGAGGGUAAAUGGAUAAAGAUUUAAUGUAGUUUCUUAACAACCACAUAAUCUGGUCAGAAAUGAAGAUCAUGAUGGUGCACUCACAAGGAGUGUCACCUAGGGAUUAUAUUGGGCAAGGCUUAGUCAUUAGGUGAUAUGAAGAUGCUCACAAAGUAUCAUACCAUUUGGCAAAGCCAAAAUGGUACUUGCUUCACAAACAUCUCCUCUGGACAGAAACUUGAAAUAAUUAUGGUGGUCAAAUGGAUCAAUCAAAUGAUGCCAAAAUGGGUGGAGGAAUGUUUUAUGGGUAGAAGAAUGAUCUGGUAAUUUAUCAGGAUUUGUGAAGCAAUAUAAAAUAUACUUGCUUCACAACCUGAAAAUAAUGCCAGAAUCAAAGAUUUGCUCCUAUGCUCACAUAGAUGAUUGGAUAGGGCUGCAAAUGGGUGGAAGGGAUUAAUAUGAGCACAUUAAGGAGUUUGCAAAAGCUAAACUUAUUUGGAUACUCCUAGCUAGUACUUCCUUCACAAAGCCUUCUGUUUGACAGAAACUUUAAAAAUUCACUUAGGAAGAUUGGCUAGGCAAAUAAAUUUGAACUUGUGCAUGGGGCAAUUAUUUGGACAUAUAAACAUGCCCAAGAAGGUUGGGAGUCAAAAGGAGAAAUAUAAAUGACACUUCCUUCACAAAGUGCCAUUCAGGGCAGAAUAGGAAAUGAAUUAUUGGAGGAUUAUUUUUGAACAUGGCAAUGAAAAGUUUUGCCAUAUUUGAUCAAGAUAUGACCCCAAAAAUUUAUGAGAAUUAUUUGGGAAUUUUAGGAGUGAUGGAAAUAUAGGUUGCUUCACAACCUAGGGCAAUAGGAGUUAUUCCUUUGAUAGAAAAGGAAUAUUCCAAUAAAAAGAAUAUUGGGAUUAGGGCUAGGAUGGAAAUAAUAGGGUCUAGGGAAAGAUUUGGGAAUGGCAAGCCACUUUGGAAGCAAAUAAGAGGUCAUCUUCUUUAGUUUCCAGACCACAAAGCCACGGAAAAAGAAAACUCAGGCAAAAACCUCGGAAAAACAAAAGAAAAAGAAAGGGCCAAAAAUCAGGCUGUGACAAACCUUAACCCCUUAAAGAAAUCUCGUCCUCGAGAUUUGUUUGCUCAGGGAACAAUAUGAAUAUUCUGACUCAAGGAAACCGUUUCCAACUCGGGUAUCCUUUUUCCUUUAUUGUUGUUCCCAUUAAAUUUUUAUCUGACUGGCCCUGGGGUGGUUUGAUUUACUAUAUCCACAUUCUGACAGAUCUUGCCUGGCUUGAUCAUGCUUAUAUAGGCUCCAAUUUCUUUUUUAGAUCUGCUGACUAGAUGUGUGUGAUUUAAUUAUCAUGACUGAAAUAUAUGUCCGUCUCACAAUCCAAAAGUGAUUUCCGCUGGGUGUGCCGUCCAGCACUGACAACCUUUCAUGUAACGAUGAUCGUAAUUUUUUGAUGAAAAUUCAAGCUCUGACACAUUGCAUUGGGUUUCUCCACUAAAUGCAGGACCUUUGGGUUCCAAAUAGUGAGUUAAUACAUUUCCUGACAGAUUGUGACUCAUCGCGGAAGUUUCUGAAUUAUUCUGACUGACUUCACUAUCUUGAGUAUCGGAUCCUUACCAAAUAUUUGAUUAUCUCUUGUCACGGCCAACAUAAAUGGUUUGGCCGGUAUGAUAAUAUCUGCAAACUUGACGGAAAAUUUUUGUUAACGACUGGCUAUCCAUGAUGAUUCAUAUAAGUGAGGACUCAGGCUUCCAGACUGUUAUUCCUCAUGCCGAUUACUCAUGUUGUAGGCAUAUCCAUGUGGAUCAAUACUGACUUAGACUGUCCGGGGGAUCUGCACCAUGGGGGUCGUGUACAAUUUUCAUACCUGCAUCACUGGUCUUGCUCCUUCAUUAUUGUUUUCUUAGUCUGGAUCUUGGCUGAAAGAGCUGGGCCAUAUUGCUUCUUUGUAUGACCAUAGGUACUGUCGGUGCAAUUUUUCGGCAAUUGUAGCUUAUCCUCAUUUUUCUGAUAGGGUAACCCAUUAAAUUGCAGGUUCAACACCUCUCAAGUUCUGAUCGUUGGGAAAUGAUCAUCCGAAACCCUUGCAAGAAAUCGGCAAAUAAAUCAGUAGCCACCAGAACGGUCUUUACAACUCAGAUCUGGGACAUUAUUGAAAUAACUCAACCACGGCUCAAGACGGCCGAAAAACAGCUCAGAGCAUGAGACCGGGUCGAUAAGAAGAAGGUGGCAGCUCCCUAAAAUAGCCAAAAAGCAGCUAUAGGGCUACUGUCACAAAAGAAACUCAACAGCUGUACGAGACGGCCGAAAAGCAGCUCAGACUCGUGACAGUCGUUGAAGAGAGAAACAAAAAUAGGCAUCCACCCCGGAUAGCUAGAAACAGCUCAGAUCACAGGCGUGGUGCCGUCAUUGGAGAAAAAGAGAACAAGGGCUCAUCAGGAUCAUUUUCCAGUUCACAAGUAUUUGUAUGGAGCUUAUUGAUGUCGUCAAUCCUCGUAAUCCUUUGUCACAUUGCGGUGUAUAUUAGCUUUCUUCUAUUAACCAUUCUCACGUGGUUGUCAGAUCCUCAUCCGAGUGACUUGUAAGAUCUUGAUGGUAUGCUCAUUGCAUAUAUAUGAGGACCUGAUUCCGAGACAGACGUGUAUUCUGAUUGAUUCUUGAUUCUGACCAAAAUGUUGCGGAUCUGAUUUUUGGGAUUCACUGCCAUAUGUUGUCAAUUCACAGCGUACUACCUUGUACCAAUGCCUUACUGAGGAAUAUUUGCUGGCUUGUGCUCGAAACUUUCAUCGGACAGCUUGCUGAAGAAGACUGGGUAUCGUGCUUCGGAAGCUUACCCCCUUAAAGACUUUGCUGGGGAAAGACUCAAUACCUUAUGCUGGUAGCUUUUGCGGUUGCUUACCGAAGAAGGUAGAGCACCUUGUACAGAAAAUCAUCCACAUAUCAUACUGAGGAAGAUAGAUGAAUCUUGCCUUGGAAACUUCUCUCGUAUCUGUGAGGGAAAGGUGGGUUCCUUACACUAGGAACUUCUUAUUGUGAUAUGCAGACCGAUUUCAACAUAUACAUAUCAUCUUAAUAUUUCUGAUGUUGAUUUCUUGCAUGAAACGGGGUUUUACUGGACUAUCCUCCUUUCUGAGUAUAUGCCAUAUUUUUGCUUGCUUCCAGGUACAUCGUGUUCCAAAAUCAUCCUCAACGAAAAAUUAAACUUGUAUCUGAGCCAUACCUUUGAUAAUAUUCUGUCAACCUUGCACACAAUUUAUCUUCUUGCUGAUUUAAUCAUUUUGUUAUGAUGAGUGCUCGCUAAUGCAAAAUGAUACUGACGGUCCAUCCAGGAUUUCUUUUGCAUCCAGACAAGAUAUUCCAAUUUUCAUUGCAGUCAGCUGAUAAUUCCAUUCUGUUUAACUGAGUUUCCAAAUAUAUACAUUUCUUGCUGACUCUUCGGGUCCGGUGUCGGCUGACGAGUAACUGCAAUAGGGAAAAAAUUUGUAACACCAAAGGCCCAAAGAAAAGAACAACAGAAACGACUAAAACAAAAGCACACAAGCACACUACUAAUAUAAUUAAUCAAGCAAUCAUCACAUAUUACUGCUAGUCACACAAUAAUAUGCAUGCACACCUAAGCACACAAAUGUCGGGGAAACUCCGGUAUUGCGGUCUAAUAUGUUGUGAUGAUGUGCACGAGGACGAAUAAAUGUGUGGAAGAAUUGAUGUAAACAGCAGUACACCAAGUGCUAGCUUAGCCAGGUGGCAACCUGAACUAGCUCGGAGGCGAGGACGUACUUGGUAAUCAUGCAGUAGGACACGAAGGUCACAACUACAUUAUUAUCCAGCAGACAGAAAAAGAUCCGUACUCGUCCAAGAAAUAGGAUAGCGGGGAAAAAAACUGAGGCUGCUGACAUUGCCCUUUCUUGAUAAUUAAGAUCAUUAAGGGUUGCCAACAUGAGAAAAUAAAAGAACGAUUCGGGAUAGACGCAUGUCCAUCACUGAAAUGAUAGGCGGGACUGAAGGAAAGACAUCGGUGCGAUACCUGAGCACCAUUUUGCAAACAGUGUCGGGAUCACUUGGCAUCACUCUGCUGGGACAGAAGUAACACCAAACACCGAAAGAAAAGGAACUGGGGAAAUGCAAAGGUUGAGCUGUAGUGGAUCCGAACCGAUGCCAGCUACACUCACCACACAAACCAUUAGUGCAAAUACUAAGGCUAUAUGCAUGCUAUGCGAUAAACAAGUGCAGCAAUCAAAUGCAACACACCAACUGGGGUCUAUACUACCGCUUUCUAACGUUCAUGCGGUCUAGGGCGUCCGACAGCCAGGCCUGCUCUGAUACCAACCCCGGCUCAGAGAAAACCGGAACGCCCCGUAUUCCAGCCCAGAGAUCGAGGAGAAGUCUUCUGGAAUACGACACUGCUUAGCAUAGAAUAAACUAGCCUUCUAAUAUUACACCAAUAUGAUUACAAGGUCUCCGAUAUUACAAUGAAUAACAUCGGUACGGCGACACUACGCCAUCCUCAGUUGCUCUAUGCAAGCAGCAGAACAACUCGAAGCAGCGGAAUAACUCUAGCAGUGGAACAACGAAGACAGUGGUGAACUCAACUCUGCAGGGACUCUGGCUGGAAUGCUUAUCCUAACUCGCACGAACGGAAACCACGACAAGCAAGCAAUCAAAUCUGGGAUGACCUGCAAACUGGCAUGACACGCCAGGUCAGUACAUUGAAUGUACUUGCAAGCUCACAAUAAACCAGAAGCAUUCAAGACAAACAACAGCAUGGCAAUUAUAGGUUAAACAGGAAUUAACAUGAUAUCAUUAGAAUAACAUGGCAUGACCAACAUAAACAUGAUACAUCUAACACAACAUUAGCAUAUUAAUCCGACAAUACUAGCAUGCAACAUAAUGACACUAUAUGCACCACUUACUCUGCUCCGGCUACCUCGUAACCAACGCAUGCAUCACUUACCAACCUCGGACAUCACACGAUCAUCUCAGGAUCAAAUCAAGCUUGGUAUAAACAAUACCGUAGCGAUCAGUAAAUGAACACAAGGAGCUUGAUCUUUACCCACGAUUCUCGCACAACAUCACGAAUAUACAACAACUCGGUAUCCUCGAUACCCUCGUGAUCCUUACGGGGAUCACAACCACAACCAACACUAGUCUCAAACCGUGAUCCCUACGGCGAUCACAACCCGACAAAUACAUGGCCCGUGAUCCUUACGGCGAUCACAACCCGACCACUACAUGGCUCGUGAUCCUUACGGCAAUCACAACCCGACCAACACUUGGCCAACUUAUCUCACUGUUAUUAAGCACAUUAUUAUUAUUAUUAUUAUUAUUAUUAUUAUUAUUAUUAUUAUUAUUAUUAUUAUUAUUAUUAUUAUUAUUACUGUUGACUCAUGGUGUGACCUACUUUCGACCUGGGCCCUUAUCCGUGGGCACGGCUAUCGAUAGAUUAAUAUACACUCUGCAGAGGUUAGUACACUAUACCCACACUACGGAACCCAUGGCCUCGCACUCCCAUUCGUGUGGACCAACGGCGUUCCGACAAAACCGAUCUACUGCCAUGACACUCUCCCGGCCACUCCGACUCACUCCUCACUGAGCUAAGUCAUGGGUGGCCCCGUGCCUACCUCCAGACACAACGACCAUCGUCAUGGCCCGUCCCACACAGGGACACGGAUCCAAAAACUAACUCAACAAUGGGCCCACAAGGUUAUGCUUGCCUACCGGGCUAGGGUACAGCACGCCCAUAACCUUCCCUCGUUGGAGGCACCAGCGAGAGGCACGACAAUAGACCCAGUUAGGACCGUCCCAUACCGGUAAGCAUGGUUGCACUGGUGAGCAUCGAUUCAACGGCACCAUGACUCAGCCAACAGUUGUUCAAGUUCAAUUUAAUUUGGUUAACUUGAAUGCAAAUAAGCCGAGCCAUGAUAAAAUGCAUGAACAUGAUAUCAACAUCAUCAUGAGAGCAUCACAUAACUUUCCACCAUAUCAACAGUAAAUCAUAUCCACUGAGCAUCACAUACCGACUAGCAUGACCAUCUCCAACAUCAACAUGAACUACUAACACGCAUAAACAUAUGAAAGGUAAUACUAGCAGGUAUAACAUGAUCACAGGGUAUAAGACAACAUAGCACAAAAGUGAACAUGCAAAUCUGAACAUCACCGGAACAACGAUAACCAACUUUUCAACAAGCAAACAUUUAUUAAAUAUUCAAGUUGAAAACCAUGGCUACUGCAUGACUAUCAUGCAAGUGGGUAUUGUGGCUUGCCUGGGGAUGAAGAAGGCACCAGGAAGAAGUGC